rnacentral:rRNA from 1 species
AACGAACGCUGGCGGCAUGCCUAACACAUGCAAGUCGAACGAGACCUUCGGGUCUAGUGGCGCACGGGUGCGUAACGCGUGGGAAUCUGCCCUUGGGUUCGGAAUAACAGUUAGAAAUGACUGCUAAUACCGGAUAAUGUCUUCGGACCAAAGAUUUAUCGCCCAGGGAUGAGCCCGCGUAGGAUUAGCUAGUUGGUGAGGUAAAGGCUCACCAAGGCGACGAUCAGUAGCUGGUUUGAGAGAACGACCAGCCACACUGGAACUGAGACACGGUCCAGACUCCUACGGGAGGCAGCAGUGGGGAAUUUUGGACAAUGGGGGGCAACCCUGAUCCAGCAAUGCCGCGUGAGUGAAGAAGG